CCUUGGUCAGCUAAAUAGACUAGGGGGAGAAAAUCCCGAUUCAGUCUUCUUAGAGAGACUAUUUGUGACUAACAGAUGGAAGAAAGGCAAUAACAGGUCUGUGAUGCCCUUAGAUGUUCUGGGCCGCACGCGCGCUACACUGAUAAAGGCAGCGAGUUGGACAACCUGGGCCGGAAGGCAUGGGGAAUCUUUUGCAACUUUAUCGUGCUGGGGAUUGACCAUUGCAAUUAUUGGUCAUGAACGAGGAAUUCCUAGUAAGUGCGAGUCAUUAGCUCGCGCUGAUUACGUCCCUGUCCUUUGUACACACCGCCCGUCGAUACUACCGAUUGAAUGUAUUAGUGAGGCCUUUUGAGGGAAGAUUACGGUCUUGCUGAUAUUGGACGAACUUGUGCAUUUAGAGGAAGUAAAAGUCG
rnacentral:rRNA from 1 species